CCUACGGGAGGCAGCAGUGAGGAAUAUUGGUCAAUGGACGAGAGUCUGAACCAGCCAAGUCGCGUGAAGGAUGACUGCCCUAUGGGUUGUAAACCUCUUUUAUAGAGGAACAAAGCGCGACACGUGUGCGUUUUUGCAUGUACCUUAUGAAUAAGCAUCGGCUAACUCCGUGCCAGCAGCCGCGGUAAUACGGAGGAUCCGAGCGUUAUCCGGAUUUAUUGGGUUUAAAGGGUGCGUAGACGGGCUGUUAAGUCAGCUGGGAAAAUUGGCGGCUCAACCGUAGAAGUGCAAUUGAAACUGGCAGUCUUGAGUGGGGUAGAGGUAAGCGGAAUUCGUGGUGUAGCGGUGAAAUGCAUAGAUAUCACGAAGAACCCCGAUUGCGAAGGCAGCUUACUAAA
rnacentral:rRNA from 1 species